rnacentral:rRNA from 1 species
AACGAAGCCUUCGGGCUUAGUGGCGCACGGGUGCGUAACGCGUGGGAACCUGCCUUUAGGUUCGGAAUAACAGUUAGAAAUGACUGCUAAUACCGGAUGAUGUCUUCGGACCAAAGAUUUAUCGCCUUUAGAUGGGCCCGCGUUGGAUUAGAUAGUUGGUGGGGUAAUGGCCUACCAAGUCGACGAUCCAUAGCUGGUCUGAGAGGAUGAUCAGCCACACUGGGACUGAGACACGGCCCAGACUCCUACGGGAGGCAGCAGUGGGGAAUAUUGGACAAUGGGCGAAAGCCUGAUCCAGCAAUGCCGCGUGAGUGAUGAAGGCCUUAGGGUUGUAAAGCUCUUUUACCAGGGAUGAUAAUGACAGUACCUGGAGAAUAAGCUCCGGCUAACUCCGUGCCAGCAGCCGCGGUAAUACGGAGGGAGCUAGCGUUGUUCGGAAUUACUGGGCGUAAAGCGCGCGUAGGCGGCGAUCCAAGUCAGGGGUGAAAUCCCGGGGCUCAACCCCGGAACUGCCCUUGAAACUAGGUUGCUAGAAUACUGGAGAGGUGAGUGGAAUUCCGAGUGUAGAGGUGAAAUUCGUAGAUAUUCGGAAGAACACCAGUGGCGAAGGCGACUCACUGGACAGUUAUUGACGCUGAGGUGCGA